rnacentral:snRNA from 1 species
AUACUUACCUGGCGCAGGGGACACCGUGAUCCAUAAGGCGGUUCCCUCAUCCUGAGACUUGCUCAUUGCACUGACGGGCUGAGUUGACGGGUGCGAUCACCCCAAAUGUGGGUGACUCGGGCGCGUUAUUUUUGCUAGUGGUGGACUGCGUUCGCGCUAUCCACUG